GCGGAAAGCGCAUGCGCACAGUGUGACCGCCCUGCACCUGGCCGAGCAGACGACGCACUGCCCCACACCUGGGCCAGGUGGGCGCGGAGAGGGAUAAGGGAAGAGGACGGACCUGAAGAUGUGAACCCUGCUCAGGAAGCCCUCGGCACAAACAGGGACCAGGAAGAGCUGGAGGGAUGAGACAGCCAAGGACAACUCCCCAGUGCCUAACCUGGAGGCCCAGAUAAACAGACGGUGAAGUCAUUGGCUGGGAAAGAUUAGUCCAGAGAAAGAAUAAAUAUUUUGACAUUUGAGGCCAAGAUACUUGUUUUUUGUUGUUUUUGCAAACAAAAGAGGCUGACUCAGGCGCACAGGGAGCCGAGAGGGCACAUCGUCAAGGACCCCCCGGGCUUCACUGAGAACAGGUUGGCAGGCGGCUGUCGCCCAGGGAACCAGUCACAGUGAGAGACGCCUCCCUCAGCCCUCCGGUGAUGAAACUAUAGCUGUCGGUGCUCUGCCAGCUGAACGUUGGACCUCCCUUCCCGCAAUACCUACUGGCUGUGUUCCUGGAGGCUGGG